AUUGAACGCUGGCGGCAGGCUUAACACAUGCAAGUCGAACGAGCGGCGGACGGGUGAGUAAUGUCUGGGAAACUGCCUGAUGGAGGGGGAUAACUACUGGAAACGGUAGCUAAUACCGCAUACCAUCGGAUGUGCCCAGAUGGGAUUAGCUAGUAGGUGGGGUAAUGGCUAACCUAGGCGACGAUCCCUAGCUGGUCUGAGAGGAUGACCAGCCACACUGGAACUGAGACACGGUCCAGAACACUACGGGAGGCAGCUGGGGGGAAUAUUGCACAAUGGGCGCAAGCCUGAUGCAGCCAUGCCGCGGGUAUGAAGAAGGCCUUCGGGUUGUAAAGUACUUUCAGCGAGGAGGCGUUACUCGCAGAAGAAGCAGCGGCUAACUCCGUGCCAGCAGCCGCGGGAAUAC
rnacentral:rRNA from 1 species